rnacentral:rRNA from 1 species
CCUACGGGGGACAGCAGUGGGGAAUAUUGCACAAUGGGGGAACCCCUGUUGCAGCACCGCCGCGUAGGUGAAGAAGUAUCUCGUUCCGUAAACCUCUAUCAGCAGGGAAGAAAAUGACGGUACCUGCCUAAGAAGCCCCGGCUAACUACGUGCCGGCAGCCGCGGUAAUACGUAGGGGGCAAGCGUUACCCGGAUUUACUGGGUGUAAAGGGAGCGUAGACGGCAGCACAAGUCUGGAGUGAAAUCCCGGGGCUUAACCCCGGAACUGCUUUGGAAACUGUGCGGCUGGAGUGCAGGAGGGGUAAGCGGAAUUCCUAGUGUAGCGGUGAAAUGCGUAGAUAUUAGGAGGAACACCGGUGGCGAAGGCGGCUUACUGGACUGUAACUGACGUUGAGGCUCGAAAGCGUGGGGAGCAAACAGGAUUAGAUACCCUUGUAGUC